rnacentral:pre_miRNA from 1 species
CAUCUACUUCCUCUUUUUGGAAUUACUUGUCGUAAAAAUGAAUAUAUCUAGAUGUAUUUUAGUUCUAGAUACAUUCAUAUCCGAGACAAGUAAUUCCGAACGAAGGGAGUAGAAA